rnacentral:rRNA from 1 species
AUGUCUUCCUCCGGUUCCUCCCAGAUCGGUCUCAACAACCAGGUCACGGAGAAGCUCACAUGUACGAACUAUGUACUGUGGCGCGUCCAGAUCACGCCGCAGCUAAGGGGAGCUGGCGUCUUCGGCUAUGCCGACGGCAGCACACCGGAGCCAGCCCGUUUUCUUCCUGGCAAGGAUAAGGAUGGCAAAGACUCCACCGAGCCCAACCCUCUCCACCCCAUCUGGGUCCGGAAGGAUCAACAGGUGCUCGGGUACCUGCUCAACAAUCUCUCCAAAGAGGUGUUGGUGCAGUGA